rnacentral:piRNA from 1 species
UGAGCUUCCUGUAGAAUCCUGUCUU